rfam:Neotoma lepida isolate 417 scaffold_1106, whole genome shotgun sequence.
GGAGAGAUGGCUCAGUGGUUAAGAGCACUGGCUGCUUUCCCAGAGGACCUGGGUUCAAUUCCCAGCACCC